CCAGCCUGGAGACCUGGCUCUGGGGAUUUUAUAAGCUGUCUGCACCUCUGGGGACCAUGGAAGGCAGCGCCAGAACCCUGAACUUCACUGCCCUUCUUUGCCUGGGGCUGUGUUGGGGACCAUGGGACCAGGCACAGGCAGGAGUAUUUGGGGCACCCACCCUCUCAGUUAACCCAGGCCCUGUGGUGGCCUCAGGAGUGAACAUGUCCCUCUCCUGUAGUUCACGUUACCCAUGGUAGUCAUUCCAUCUGCU